rnacentral:rRNA from 1 species
GAUGAACGCUGGCGGUAUGCUUAACACAUGCAAGUCGAACGGACUCUUCGGAGUUAGUGGCGGACGGGUGAGUAACGCGUGAGAAUCUGGCUUUGGGUUCGGGACAACCACUGGAAACGGUGGCUAAUACCGGAUGUGCCGAGAGGUAAAAGAGAAAUUGCCUGAAGAUGAGCUCGCGUCUGAUUAGCUAGUUGGUGAGGUAAAGGCUCACCAAGGCAGCGAUCAGUAGCUGGUCUGAGAGGAUGACCAGCCACACUGGGACUGAGACACGGCCCAGACGACUACGGGAGGAAGCAGGGAAGAAUGUUCCGGAAUGGGCGAAAGACUGACGAAGGAAUACCGCGUGAGGGAAGAAGGCACUUGGGUUGUAAACCUCUUUUCUUAGGGAAGAACAAAAUGACGGUACCUAAGGAAUCAGCAUCGGCUAACUCCGUG